rnacentral:tRNA from 1 species
GUUAGUGUGGCAUACUGAUUUGAGCGUUGGACUACAACUCUGCAGACCAGGGUUCGAUUCCCAGCUCAGCCA